rnacentral:rRNA from 1 species
AUUGAACGCUGGCGGCAUGCCUUACACAUGCAAGUCCAACGGCAGCACGGGUGCUUGCACCUGGUGGCGAGUGGCGAACGGGUGAGUAAUACAUCGGAACAUGUCCUGUAGUGGGGGAUAGCCCGGCGAAAGCCGGAUUAAUACCGCAUACGAUCUACGGAUGAAAGCGGGGGACCUUCGGGCCUCGCGCUAUAGGGUUGGCCGAUGGCUGAUUAGCUAGUUGGUGGGGUAAAGGCCUACCAAGGCGACGAUCAGUAGCUGGUCUGAGAGGACGACCAGCCACACUGGGACUGAGACACGGCCCAGACUCCUACGGGAGGCAGCAGUGGGGAAUUUUGGACAAUGGGCGAAAGCCUGAUCCAGCAAUGCCGCGUGUGUGAAGAAGGCCUUCGGGUUGUAAAGCACUUUUGUCCGGAAAGAAAUCCUUGGCCCUAAUACGGUCGGGGGAUGACGGUACCGGAAGAAUAAGCACCGGCUAACUACGUG